GUAAGCGGCACAUUUCACAAUUUGUUCUCAUAAUUACUAAGUAUUAACAAGAAAGCUUUAUGAAUGGGUAAGUGGUGAAGAUAAAUUCCUCUUGAAAGCUUUAAUAUGUCCUGAUUUAACAAUUUACAAAAAUGAAUAAUUAAUACGUUAUGUCCGAAUUUAUUCAAAUAAUAAUCUCGUCUGAAUAAGAGCUUGAACCAUAAUCCCUUAUUGUCCUUUGUAUUUUUCAGUGAUUUUGCCAGUCUUCAUUGCCACCAUUGUCGUCUUCCUGGUGCUAGUAUGUGCUCUACUCUUUGUUAUCAGGGCUCAGAGGACUCAACACAACCUGCUUCAGAGUCAGGGGUCAGGUAACGCCAGCACAGUUGCUAUGAGCCAACAUCUACCAAGUGGAAAAGGAGAUGAGGAACUCAACAAAACAAAUGAGGGCAUUUAUGCUAACACCACUGAGCUGAAGAAACCAGGUGUCACCCAACCUGCAACUACCUCUGAGCCAAUCAGCACCAACUUACCAAGCUCAAUCCGAAACGACACAGAAGAUGCCAGUACAAGUUCAGAGAAGAAAAACGAGGAAAGCAAAGAUGUGAUUUAUACUAGUGUGACUUGGAGGAGCAAAGGGAAGAAGGAGGGAGGAAGCUCUGGGGACACAAAUCAGUCAGGUCGCUCCUGAUGGAGAAUUGGGCAGAAAUGUUGCGAGCAAUGCAGUAGAGAGUGUAAAUCUAUACAAUGAAGUGAAGCCUAGAAAUGUGAAGAAGGACUCUGAAUGUGAAUAUGCCCAGGUUAAAUUUAGAGACUAGAUUGAGAUGCAGACAUAGAUUACAGUUCAGUCCGGACUGGGCGAUAAAACGAAAUGAUAAUUAUUGCAAUAUAAUUUUCGUCAAUAAAUAUGAAAAAUGUUCAAUAAAA